rnacentral:lncRNA from 1 species
UUCCAUACAAAACAACAAAAUAAAACUAAGAUUGCCAGAAUGUUAGUUGAAAUAAGAAAGAGAACAAAUUACUGAAUACUUUCUUUUCAAAUGUGAAAUUCGAAUCGAUUUGACCCCAACGGGCUACUGAUUGAACUACGAACCAACUACUUCGAUGAAUUAAACCUCGACCUUGCAACUCGCCAGAUUUCUCGCUGGAUUCGACUCGAUUGAGCUUGGACAGAAACAAGAUGGUAAAACUCGCCAGAUUUCUCUUUGUUGACAAUGAAGAAAGCUUAGCUUCCAUCCAUGAAAAUAGGCUGAAGAUUCAUGGUAUGUGUGUCAUUGGAUGCUUUUUGUUGAAGAAGAAGAUCUAAGUUUUCGGAAGGGGGGGGGGGGGUCGUUUUUCUGCUGCGCUUUUGUUUUGAAGAGAGGGUCUCCUGCGUUUGAGUCCUUAGGCGAGGAGAAAGCUGCUUGAUUUUGUUUCAACUUCUUCAGGUUUUUC